AAUCCGAGAAUUUCACCUCUAACGCAGCAAUACAAAUGCCCCCGUCUGUUCCUAUUAGUCAUUAUCUCCGCUCCUAAAACCAACAAAAUAGAACCGAGAUCCUAUUCCAUUAUUCCAUGCACCACUAUUCGGGCAGUAUCGCCUGUUUUGAGCACUCUAAUUUUUUCAAAGUAAAUCCGCUAGCCACCCAUGACACUCAAUUAAGAGCACCAUGAGAAAACCAGCAAUAGUAUCGGUAGCUUCAGUACUGCUCAUGAGAGAGACCGAGGCUUUCCGAUUUAAGUCAACUACGAGCUUUUUAACAGCAGCAACAUUGGUAUAUGCUACUGGAGCUGGAAUUACCGC
rnacentral:misc_RNA from 1 species